rnacentral:rRNA from 1 species
UUGAAGAGUUUGAUCAUGGCUCAGAUUGAACGCUGGCGGCAGGCCUAACACAUGCAAGUCGAGCGGUAGCACAGAGAGCUUGCUCUCGGGUGACGAGCGGCGGACGGGUGAGUAAUGUCUGGGAAACUGCCUGAUGGAGGGGGAUAACUACUGGAAACGGUAGCUAAUACCGCAUAACGUCGCAAGACCAAAGUGGGGGACCUUCGGGCCUCAUGCCAUCAGAUGUGCCCAGAUGGGAUUAGCUAGUAGGUGGGGUAAUGGCUCACCUAGGCGACGAUCCCUAGCUGGUCUGAGAGGAUGACCAGCCACACUGGAACUGAGACACGGUCCAGACUCCUACGGGAGGCAGCAGUGGGGAAUAUUGGACAAUGGGGGCAACCCUGAUCCAGCGAUGCCGCGUGAGUGAUGAAGGCCUUAGGGUUGUAAAACUCUUUCAGAUGGGAAGAUAAUGACGGUACCAUCAGAAGAAGCUCCGGCUAACUCCGUGCCAGCAGCCGCGGUAAUACGGAGGGAGCUAGCGUUGUUCGGAAUUACUGGGCGUAAAGCGCGCGUAGGCGGCUUGGCAAGUUGGGGGUGAAAUCCCGGGGCUUAACCUCGGAACUGCCUCCAAAACUGCUGAGCUAGAAUCCUGGAGAGGUGAGUGGAAUUCCUAGUGUAGAGGUGAAAUUCGUAGAUAUUAGGAAGAACACCAGUGGCGAAGGCGACUCACUGGACAGGUAUUGACGCUGAGGUGCGAAAGCGUGGGGAGCGAACAGGAUUAGAUACCCUGGUAGUCCACGCCGUAAACGAUGGAUACUAGCUGUCCGGAUGCAAAUCUGGGCGGCCAAGCGAAAGUGAUAAGUAUCCCACCUGGGGAGUACGUCCGCAAGGAUGAAACUCAAAGGAAUUGACGGGGGCCCGCACAAGCGGUGGAGCAUGUGGUUUAAUUCGAUGAUACGCGAGGAACCUUACCAGGGCUUAAAUGUGGUCUGACAGCUUUAGAGAUAGAGCCUCCUUCGGGCAGAUCACAAGGUGCUGCAUGGUUGUCGUCAGCUCGUGCCGUGAGGUGUCAGGUUAAGUCCUAUAACGAGCGCAACCCCUGCCGUUAGUUGCCAGCAUGUAAAGAUGGGGACUCUAACGGGACUGCCGGUGCAAACCGCGAGGAAGGUGGGGAUGACGUCAAAUCAUCACGGCCCUUACGUCCUGGGCCACACACGUGCUACAAUGGCCGGUACAGAGAGCAGCCACUGGGCAACCAGGAGCGAAUCUAUAAAACCGGUCACAGUUCGGAUCGGGGUCUGCAACUCGACCCCGUGAAGCUGGAAUCGCUAGUAAUCGGAUAUCAGCCAUGAUCCGGUGAAUACGUUCCCGGGCCUUGUACACACCGCCCGUCAAGCCAUGGAAGCCGGGAGUGCCUGAAGUCCGUCACCGCAAGGAGCGGCCUAGGGCAAGAUCGGUAACUAGGGCUAAGUCGUAACAAGGUAGCCGUACCGGAAGGUGCGGCUGGAACACCUCCUU